UAUGCUUAGCCUUAAAACAAGAUGUAAUAUUACACAUUCAUCCGCCCGGGUACUACGAGCACAGCUUAAAACCCAAAGGACUUGGCGGUGCCUCAGACCCACCUAGAGGAGCCUGUUCUAGAACCGAUAAACCCCGUUCAACCUCACCACUUCUUGUCCCUCCCGCCUAUAUACCGCCGUCGUCAGCUUACCCCGUGAAGGAUAAGUAGUAAGCUAAACUGGUACAACCAAAAACGUCAGGUCGAGGUGUAGCGAAUGAAGUGGGAAGAAAUGGGCUACAUUUUCUAUUAUAGAAUAAACGAAUGAUACUCUGAAAAUAUGUCUGAAGGUGGAUUUAGUAGUAAAAAGCAAACAGUGUGUCCUUUUGAAUUAGGCUCUGAGGCGC
rnacentral:rRNA from 1 species